CACGGGCUUGCCACUGCACUAAUGGCGGUGCAGGCAGCGCUGUGUAAACAAAACGUAGCUAUUGCCAUGCUUGAUAGAAGGUGCACCUUACGCCGAGUGACAACUUUAACAGUUGUGAGCAAGUGAAAGGGUGGUCACCAAAACGUGACAAGCAAGUGCAGAAUGGCCUUGAAGCCGGCUCCUUUGUGGAUUGGCAAGCCCUUGGUGUGGUGUGGUCCAGACAUUGGCUGCUUCCAUCAUACCUGGUCUUUUUUCUUGUGACCAGAUCAUCGCUGCAGCAGCUCAUUACAAAUCAGUGGGAGCAUGCAGUUCAUUCAUUCAUACUGGUGUCCGCUGUGGUAACUCUGGCUACAGUGUUGUUGCGCUGCUGUGCACGAGUGUGCGGGUUCAAUCUCAGCCGUGGCAUCUGCAUUCUGAUGGGGCAGAAUGUGAAAGUGCUUGGGUACCAUGCAUUGGGUGCCUGUUAAAGAAACCCAGGUGGUCAAAAUUGAACGGGUCCUGGUACUAAUGCAUGCCUCAUAACUUAUCGUGCAGUUUCAGAAUCUAAAAGGAGACUUAAGCGAAGCACUUACAGUCGACGUCCGAUUUCCCGGACCCUCAAGGGACCGCGAAAACGUCCGGAAAAUCGGGCAGUCCGGAAAAACGAAUGCACGUGAAAACGCACCUUUUUGGUAGGUAUUUUUCGCUGACGGAGAGGGUCACGGCCGGAGUACAAGAUUCUCAUUGCUAUUCAGCCAAUGCAUCGUUUAGGUGGCUCUGAAAAGAGCCGUUUAUAAAAAAAAAAAAAAAAAUACGACGUGGCCGGCGCUACCUCAUAGGUCAGCACUUGGGCGCAAAGAAGUCGCUUAUUUUCUUUUGCACGGUCCGCUUGCCCGCGAUCAUGUCUGCCUCAAUUGCAGUCAACGUCAUGUUGCCGCUGUACACCGAUGACAGUGUCAUCAGUGCUCGCGUCAACUCCGAGCUCGUUGGCUGUGUAGGAGCUGGCUCUUCGUUCUCGGUGUCUCCGUAACUUGACGAAUGAUUUCGUCAUCGGUCAACUCCGCACAUAGCUCGAGGUCUUUGUCAGCGUCGGCGAAGCCCUCAAAGGUUAUCCCGGCUGGAAUCGACACGCCGGCAGCGCGCAGAUCGUCGAAGGCAACGUCCGCGGAUGGCAGUUCGUCACUUCGUCAGUUCGUCCACGGAGGGCAGUUCGCGGAUGGCAGUUCGUUCAAAGGCGCGGACGAAGACGAAGGAGCAGUCAGUGCCAUCGCUGUAAACGGCGAAUCCGCUCGACGAAAAGCGCAGCACGAAACAGCUAGGAACUCGGUGGAUGCUGAAGGUCGGGAAACAUGAUCACUGAAGAUAGCGCGCAGCAGCAAACGAUCAACCGCAGACACGACCGCAGAGCUGGCAGAGCUGACAAAACAACACGUGAACGAACACAGUGAGGUUUGGCUUGGCUAAGCUACGGCUGGCAACGGAUUGACACGUGCGGUUUCGAGGUUACGGCAGCCGCGGCGCGGUGCUGCUGGCCACACCUGCGAUGCGAGUAUGGUGGGCUCGAGGAUAUGAAAACAACCAAAAUGGCGGCGGCGGUGGUGACUUUGGGUCGGCGGUUAACAGUAAAAAGUCCGGGAAAUCGGAUGGCGAAGGCUAUAAGCGUCCGGAAUUUCGGACUUUUUAAUACAUUGACUCUAUGAGGAACUUGACGGUGCCACAGAUGAGUCCGGGAAAUCAGGCAUGUCCGGAAUUUCGGGCGUCCGGGAAAUCGGACGUCGACUGUAAUUAACUUAGACUGAUAAAGUGUGUCUUGAAACUCUAUUCUCGUUAAUUGCAUGAUAAUAAGUUGAAAGUUGAAGAGAACAUAAGAUCAGAGUACCAUUUUCUGAAUUUUACGCCGAAGCCCCAACGGCAGUAAGGCAAUGUGAUGUCACGAAUUUGAAAACAUUUUGUUCGUAUUUGGAUGCUGUUGGCUCGGUAAAAGUUCCCAAAGCUUGCCAUGUUCAAUCUUCCUUUGUUCAAAACACAAUGUAGCCCAUUUUUAUCGAUAAGCAAUUAAAUAGGUCCUAGUAGGUGCCGUCAAAAUAUUUGGUGCCGAAAUUUCAAGGCGGCAUCACCACCUAUGUUUCCUGUUUCAUCCUUUUUUGGUUUACCAAGCAUAUUCUCACGGUAACAUAAUGUUAGCAUGAAAUUACGAGAGGACACCAAAGCAUAACCAGCUUUUCACAUUUAGCAGUGAUAGCCAAUUCCCUAUCUGGCUUUUGAAAUGGCUUGUCAGUGUAACUUGUCCCAAUGAUUACUUUAUUGCUAUGGUAAUCUUAUCCACAGCUUGCAGGCAGAUGGGGGCAAAACAUCCACUUUUGCUGUUGGCAUAAAGAUUGGGCUUCAGGGACCCUUAAAAAAAGUUGUGCGAAACUGGUUUUAAACAAAAUAUACCGUAUUUACUUGAGGAAUUUGUGCACCCUUAGGGGGACAGGGUAAGCGAAGAUUCUGACAAAAAUGUAUUUUUGUUCUUUUCUAAAUAUGAAAGUGAAUUGUUUUCUAAAUCCUUUCCAGUUUCACACUUCAUCCUAAAAUGGGUCAAAGAAUGUCUAAAAAAGUGUUGGCAGAGUGAAAAAUGUGUGAUUGAUGUUAUUGUUUACAUUGAACUCAGUUCUUUCAAAACAAGAUUUUACGUUAUGUCGGUACCAUUAUUUUCAGUAUGACAAAAGGUAGCACAACAAUUUUUUCUGCGCAAACUGAAUGGUUGUAUGUCAUUAUACUGUGCCAAAAUUAAAGCUGUAGAAUAAAUAGUUCUUGUUUGAUAAGAAAAUGUACAAAAAUUUGUUUAAAAUUAGGUAUGGGCAAAAAAAAAAUGUUAAUAAUUUGCUUUUUUGGAUAAUAAAAUACUUUUGGUACAGUAGAUAGAAGACAAAGUACAAACGCCUAGCCGAUAUCUCUAUUCCACUAUGUGCCCAAAAAUACAUGUGAAGUGUUAAAUUAACACCCUGGUUUUUGAAAAAAAUCUGACAGAAUCCAUUCACGAUGAAUGUUGACGUGUCUGCGAUUAGUGUUGAAGCAAUGUAUUAAUGCACCAUAUUGCAACUGCUGAAACACAUUGUGUAUGAGGCGUGUAUAUAGCCGGGAGGCUCUCUCACUCCUCAGAACACGCUGCAUCAUUUAGCGCCACCGCAGCAAAGUCCCAGUGCGGCAUGUGUGCAGACAAAAUUUAUUAUUUAUGACACAAGUUUGACUCCACCCACCACCAUUGAAAUUUAAAUAUCUUUUUCCAUGAAGACCCGCACAUACAUAGUGGCACAAGUUGGCGUCAAAAGGGCUCAUUGAAGGGCGGCAUGUCCCCAGCUACAUAUAGCCAGCACAAGUAAGCGUAAAAGACAUAUUGAAAAGUAGCACUUGUGUUGGGACAAUACCCAGUGACCCAAUUUCACAAAGAGGUUCAUUGAACUGUGGCACACAUCUAGUUUCACAUGUGCAGGGAUCCAAGUUAGGAUGAACGGAGUUCAUGGAAGAGCUGUAGUUAAGCAUUGACACAUACCCAGUACCACACGUUCGCAUGAAGCAGAUUAACUGAUAAGCGGCACGUACACAGUGUCACAUACCCGUGACCCAAGUUGGCCCAACGAUUAGCUUCAAACCUGGUUCCCUUAUCACAGCAGCCCAGUGCUCUAACCAUUAGACCAUGGACUACGAGGGACCCAAGUUGGUGGUAAGACGGUUAGAGACACUGACAGAGAGGCAUAAAGCCCCUGAAAAGUGCAUGACAUUCCCUAGGAAUGCUUAUCAUAUUAAAAGCUUUUCAUUGCAUAAUUUGCGCACCCUGUCCUGCCCGCAGCAGGCCGUCGAUGCGUGUGCACAAGGCAGGGUUGGGGAGAUCGGCACCGCUUCAAUGUUGCCCGCAAUCGCUAUGCCAGUGCUGCAGUUGCUGUAGGUGAAGGCAUCUAGCGGGGAAGGGUCGCUUGUCAAAGUGAAGUCACGCAGAAAAAACAAGCUGUGCGCAUUCUUUUUUAGUUAGCACUGUUUUCUGUACUGGAGGGCGGGAGAGCACAGAACUUCUCUGUGCAGACAAAUCAUCAGUAGCGGCGGUGGAGCAGCCUGUGCAACCAUUUUUGAUUACCGUGUGGUGUGUGCUCUAGGAUCAGUCGUGCUUUAAUCGACCCAACUUCAACGACUGCUCUUUUGAUGGGGUACAAUACCUCCACAGCCAAGUUUUAACUUUGUGUAAUGCAGUUCACCGAGGAAAAUGGGAACCGUGCUGCUGCCAAGGAGUUCAGAAUCAGUGAGAGCUGUAUGUGCUACUCGUGAGAACAGAAGGCUCAGCUCACUGAUGCAAUACUGGAAAGAAAAGCAUUUUAAGAACAAAAGCAAGGACCUCGUAAAAUAUUUUCGAAAAAAUAGAUCCUCUGGUUCCGCUGUGUCAUGCCAGUUUCUGCAAUUUCAGGCAAUUGUGCACAAAAAAGGCAUCCCUGCUGCAACGUUCAAAGCAAGCAGAGGGUUGGUGACAUGCUUCAUGAGAAGUGAUCGCCUGUUUUUGAAACGAAGGACUGCCCUCCGUCACUUACUUGAUUGGACUGCACCAGGUCAACAACUUCGUAAUGUCACAGGUCGGGAAAGUCGAUGAAAUACCACUGACAUUUGACAUGCCACCUAGCACCACAGUGUGAAAUGCGCUUUUUCUGUCUCCGUAAAAACAGUAGGCUGUAAAAAACAGCAUUGCACUGUAAUGGUUGGGGCGACCGCUGAUGGAGUGCAAACUCCCGCCCUUUGGCAUUUGCAAGAAAGAGAUGUUGACAAAGAUAAAUAUUCAAGGGUACAUUCACGUCCAUGUUCACGAAAAUGGACGGAUGAAUGAAGCAAUAAUGCACGACUGGAUUGACAUUCUCUGGGAAAGACGACCAGGCGCCAUGCUGUGACUGCCAUCGCUGUUGCUGCUUUUCAGCUUCAAGGGCCAUUUUGUCAACAGUGUGAAAGAAAAGCUGCUAGACAUAAAGCCAAGCUUGGCUGUUAUUCUGGAUGGCCUAACAUGAGUCCGGCAGUGCAUGGACAUUUCGUCGAGCAAGCCUCGUAAGGACUAUGUGCGUAAACUGUAUGUGGAAUUGAUGGCCAGCAGAGAACAUGGCCUUAUUCUCACAGAGAGGGUAAAGAGAGCUCCUCUGGAAACAGUCUGUGACUGGAUACUACCAUUGUGGGCAUGGUAUUGCCCAAAAUUGUAAUCCACGGCUUCAAGGUUGAAUGCGCUUGACGGAACGGAGGACAACACCAUUUGGUAUGACUGGCAAGAGCGGCAGCGACAAUGACGGCUCAGAGUUGGGAUUUCUUCGGCAUACUAGACAGACAGAGGCUCUGUGAAAUAAAGACUAAUUUGGGGUGUGAUACCUACUAGACACUUUUAAGUACGUCCCACACUUACCUACCACUGUAUUACUACGACCAGAAUACGGCUAAAAUUUUUAAGCUCGGUUUAUUGGUGCUUAUCUUCAAUCGCUGCUUUCAAACCACCUGAGGACAGCUGCCUAAGCAGAAAACGUAAAGUUUUGCCUUACCAAAUUAGCAGUUUCUUUUUGCACUAGGUCUAUGGGAAACCAACCAAAUGUUCAAAAUUGUACCUAAUAUUAGAAAAUUUGGGUUAAGCAAGCUUGUCCUAAAGGGAGUGUACUGCGAUGUUGGUUAUACAUGCUGUUCCUGGUUUGAGAGAAAAGAGUACUGGCAGAAAAUCGGUACGAAACAGCACAAAACUGACACGAAACUUACGUCAUUUUCAUAAUUUGUUGCAAGUGGAUACGUCUUGCAAUUCACUGAAUACAAUUUGUAAAUUCCAAUAUGUGCUGUUAAGUAAUUAGUUAAAUACCUAAUGGGUGAAACUUUCUUAUUUAUUCAAUUAUGCAUUCCGAUUACUCAUGCAAGUAAUGCCUGCCUCUUUCAGUAAUCCAUCUCCAGGAUGAAUUCUCCUAUCUGCCACAGGUGAUAAAAAAAAAAUGUUAGUUUAAAAAGAAGCGGUAGGUAUAUCGCAAUAAGGUUGCCUAAGUAUAGGUUUUUUAAUACAGUUUUUAAUACGUGUUCAUACGUUCUGUUAAAACAUAAUAACCGAGAAAACAUACGACGCAAAACCUUGGGAAAAUAAAUUGCAGUUGUCAUUUAGAUAUAGUUGUAGCACGAGGCGUCGAUCAGCGAGCUGUUGGGGUCCGAGGGACCUGAGGCUUGCAUUGUUGCUUUUGCAGCUUCGACAUGCCUGCCUUAGCGCUUCUCGAAUUCGGCCUGGGUCAGCAGCUUUUUCUGGCGGGCAUUUGGCGGAAAAUUUUUAUGUGCCCGCUCGGUGAGAAUCGUUGCGUCAUGAGACAUCGAUGCGCUUUUAGCUGGUGAGACCCGAGCGACCCAAGUCACUUUCUUGUUUUCCUAUUGCGUAGUGUUUUAAACUGAAACGAAAGCGAGCUGGUAGGCGACACCGGCAUAAAGUACUGCCUGAGCAAAACAUGGCGCUCAUUUUAAGUCACCUGCAACAGGGAAUGGGGGCAUGUUUGGGUUAUUGCAUAUUAAAGGCGUGCAGUACGCUUCUAAUGACAUUACCCCACAUGCACUGUGAAAAGGAUAGGUGAAGAUGUUUAUCACGAUGGGGUUGACGGCAAGAGCUGUGAAUGCUACAUGCGACAGCCUGCAAGGUGAUUGCCUAGUAUCGGAAGAGGAAACUGAGUGCAUGCUGGCAUUUUCUCGUGACACAGGCGGGCGAGUAGUACAGGGAAGCUGCUCUGGCGGGUGCCUACUGCUCGAUUAUGCGUGCCUCACACCUUUCCUUGUUCACAUGGGUUUAGUAUGAUACGAUUGCAGUUUGUUGAUGUAUUGAACGUUAGUGUUGAAAGGUCGCAUUUUCCCAGAAUGUAAUAACUAGUAAAAAAGAAGCGUAACUGGUUGGGUCAUUUUCUGUGUUUGAAAUCUCGAACGUUGGCACCAGGUAAUCAUAUGAAAAGGGAUCAUAUCAACGAGAGUGCUGUAUUUGGUGGCCAAUCAAUAAGUUGUGUCCAGUCUAUUUUCACUGCAGCCUUCCCCUGCUGGAAGGCCAUCAUCGAUUAUGAAACAAUUUAAUAAGUUGGGUCUUGUCAUGACGCUGCUGUGGUUAAAAGUUGAAUAAGUGGAUUAUGUUUUGUAGUCUGUGCAGUUUAAUGUUCCAGAGGAAGUGAUCACAUUAGUAUAACCAUACUGUAAGAAAGGGGUGCUAAAGUGAAAUGUUAGGUUGACUUAGACUUGCAGCUGACAUUUAUGGAAUAGCAAAUAAAGCAGUCUCAUUGUCAGUGGAGGCUUAGAUUGACAGAAAGGACAAAAAAUGAGAAAGAUGAGUUUUGAUGCCAUUUUAGAUUUACCACGCCAGCAUCCUUUGACAUGAUGGAUUUUAACUGCAUCUACCCAACACUAGUUACCGUAUUUACUCGAAUGUAAUGUGACAACAAGAUUCGGCUUUCCUGGCAUACGAAAUAAAAAAAAAAGCGAGAAUGUAAUGCGAGAGGAACUGAAAAAGAAAGGGUACCUUUAUUCAAGAAAUUGCAAUUCAAAAAUGAGGUGGAGACAGCUUUGCUUGUGCGGUAUUCUCUGGUGAUCAUGUUUGAAGAUAGUUUGACUUUUGGAAAAUUUUGCAUGCUUUUGCACUGAAAGUGUUCCCGACAAGUGUUUCUGGUGCUGUCCCAAGCUCACUGUGAGUCCCAAGAGAGCUAUUGACCGUAUACUUGGAGGGGUUUGGUGCUGCGGCAAGCAGAAUCUCGUGAAAGCAAAACUGUCUCCUAAAGUGUUCGUUCAAGAAUCAAGUCAUCUGCGCCGUCGAGCUCAUUUGAGAUUAAGUACUUCUUAAACGACCGCACAACCAUUUCAUUUGGGGACAGUGCCAGGCCACUUCUAGUUACACAGAGACCUUCCGACCGGCCUCGCACUUAAAGAGGGCCUGCAGGUCCUGUCUUCCGGGAUUUGUCGGCUCAGACAUUGUGGCAGCGAGCCAUGGUGCAGUUUCCCAGAUCCUCGGCCAUCAUAAGUGCUGUCCUCUCAAAGUGAUGGUUAGAAAAACGUAUAGGAGGUGUCAGUCAUUCCUACAAGUUAGUCAGAAUUGAUAAUAUAUAAUGCACUUUUCACUUCGCACAGUACGGGCUCUUCGUGUGGGGUACGGGUACCUGGGACUCUAAACAAAAAUUACUCGUACUUCAAGAAUGCGUUGCGCUCUAUUGCAAGCGUCACAUUUAAUACUCAUACUUCACCUUUAUUUCACAAAUUUAAACUGUUAAGAUUUGAUAGUAUGUGCAAAUACGUUUUGACACUUGCUUAUAAAACUGAAAUUACCAAAGCGAAUGAAAACCUCACACGUAUAGCAUGUCUAGCAUGUCUAGAGCGAAGUGCCUGGUCCUGAUUCACUGGGAACAGUGAGUACUGGAACAUUCCCCGGUGCCGAAUAAACUAUUGUUUUCAGAUGCUAAAUUUCAAAUACUAAAUUCCGCACACACUAAAUAAUUGAAUGUUGCAUCUGAGUGAUUGUGCCUUCUUUCGUGAAAUGACGUGUUUAAUAUGUUGUCAUCAAGUAUUGUUGAAAAUGCAUUGUUCUGUAUGAGCUAAUGCCAGCAAAAAUUUUCAGUUGUAUAUUUUGUAUUUCUUGUAGCUUACUUUCAAUGGAUAAAUGGACUUUUAUGUGUAUUGUAACAUGCAUUGUAUUUUAUAACAUGUAGUAAAUUUUUUAAUGCUGAGACUUUGCCACCUUGUUUUGCCGGGAGUAGGGGCCAGUCAAGCUGUGUUUCAAAUCGCAGCUUUUUCCUGCCUGCCACGCCACAGUUUUUUUUUCUGUACAUAUUUGUGUCAGAGAAAUGUAAAAUGAUUGUGGUGAAAAUAAACUCAAACUCAAAAGUGA